GAAACGACUGCUAAGACUGGAUAGGAGACAAGAAGGCAUCUUCUUGUUUUUAAAAGACCUAGCAAUAGGUAUGCUUAGGGAGGAGCUUGCGUCACAUUAGUUAGUUGGUGGGGUAAAGGCCUACCAAGACUAUGAUGUGUAGCCGGGCUGAGAGGUUGAACGGCCACAUUGGGACUGAGACACGGCCCAAACUCCUACGGGAGGCAGCAGUAGGGAAUUUUCGGCAAUGGAGGAAACUCUGACCGAGCAACGCCGCGUGAACGAUGAAGUAUUUCGGUACGUAAAGUUCUUUUAUUAGGGAAGAAUAAAUGAUGGAAAAAUCAUUCUGACGGUACCUAAUGAAUAAGCCCCGGCUAACUAUGUGCCAGCAGCCGCGGUAAUACAUAGGGGGCAAGCGUUAUCCGGAAUUAUUGGGCGUAAAGGGUGCGUAGGCGGUUAAAUAAGUUUAUGGUCUAAGUGCAAUGCUCAACAUUGUGAUGCUAUAAAAACUGUUUAGCUAGAGUAAGAUAGAGGCAAGUGGAAUUCCAUGUGUAGUGGUAAAAUGCGUAAAUAUAUGGAGGAACACCAGUAGCGAAGGCGGCUUGCUGGGUCUUUACUGACGCUGAGGCACGAAAGCGUGGGGAGCAAACAGGAUUAGAUACCCUGGUAGUCCACGCCGUAAACGAUAAGUACUAAACGUUGGGUAAAACCAGUGUUGAAGUUAACACAUUAAGUACUCCGCCUGAGUAGUACGUACGCAAGUAUGAAACUUAAAGGAAUUGACGGGACUCCGCACAAGCGGUGGAUCGUGUUGUUUAAUUCGAAGGUACCCGAAAAACCUCACCAGGUCUUGACAUGCUUCUGCAAAGCUGUAGAAACACAGUGGAGGUUAUCAGUUGCACAGGUGGUGCAUGGUUGUCGUCAGCUCGUGUCGUGAGAUGUUGGGUUAAGUCCCGCAACGAGCGCAACCCUUAUUGUUAGUUACCAGCACGUAAUGGUGGGGACUUUAGCAAGACUGCCAGUGAUAAAUUGGAGGAAGGUGGGGACGACGUCAAAUCAUCAUGCCCCUUAUGACCUGGGCUACAAACGUGAUACAAUGGCUGUUGCAAAGGGUAGCUGAAGCGCAAGUUUUUGGCGAAUCUCAAAAAAACAGUCUCAGUUCGGAUUGAAGUCUGCAACUCGACUUCAUGAAGUUGGAAUCGCUAGUAAUCGCGAAUCAGCAUGUCGCGGUGAAUACGUUCUCGGGGUUUGUACACACCGCCCGUCA
rnacentral:rRNA from 1 species